rnacentral:rRNA from 1 species
GACGUAGGGGGGCGAGCGUUGUCCGGAUUCAUUGGGCGUAAAGCGCGCGUAGGCGGCUGCGCAAGUCGGUUGUGAAAUUCCGGGGCUCAACCCCGGAACUGCGUCCGAUACUGCGUGGCUAGAGGUAGGUAGGGGAGAUCGGAAUUCCUGGUGUAGCGGUGAAAUGCGCAGAUAUCAGGAGGAACACCGGUGGCGAAGGCGGAUCUCUGGGCCUUACCUGACGCUCAGGCGCGAAAGCUAGGGGAGCGAACAGG